AUUGAACGCUGGCGGCAGGCUUAACACAUGCAAGUCGAGCGAGCGGCGGACGGGUGAGUAAUGUCUGGGAAACUGCCUGAUGGAGGGGGAUAACGACUGGAAACGGUAGCUAAUACCGCAUAACAUCAGAUGGGGCCAGAGGGGAUUAGCUAGGAGGUGGGGUAAUGGCUCACCUAGGCGACGAUCCCCAGCUGGUCUGAGAGGAUAACCCGCCACACUGGAACUGUGACACGGUCCAGACUCCUACGGGAGGCAGCGGUGGGAAAUAUUGCACAAGGGUCGCAAGCCGGAUGCAGCCAUGCCGGGUGUGUGAGGAAGUCCUUCGGGUUGUAAAGCACUUUCAGCGAGGAGGCGUUACUCGCAGAAGAAGCACCGGCUAACUCCGUGCCAGCAGCCGCGGUAAUUC
rnacentral:rRNA from 1 species